rnacentral:rRNA from 1 species
UACAGGUGCGUUCGCGGCCCUCGAGGGUUCUCUCUCGGGUGGUAGGGGUAACACCCUCACGCGUCGCAUUUCUGAAUCCUUUUUUUACGAGCACCUUUCGUUCUCCUUCGGUGGGGCAACCUGCCGCUGGAACUUAACAAAACCUUUUUUUUGCAUCUAGCAUUACCUGUUCUGAUACAAACAAUCGUUACAACUUUCAACAAUGGAUCUCUUGGCUCUGGCAUCGAUGAAGAACGCAGCGAAAUGCGAUAAGUAGUGUGAAUUGCAGAAUUCAGUGAAUCAUCGAAUCUUUGAACGCACAUUGCGCCCCUUGGUAUUCCAUGGGGCAUGCCUGUUCGAGCGUCAUCUACACCCUCAAGCUCUGCUUGGUGUUGGGCGUCUGUCCCGCCUCUGUGCGUGGACUCGCCCCAAAUGCAUUGGCAGCGGUCCUUGCCUCCUCUCGCGCAGCACAAUUGCGUUUCUUGAGGUGUGCGGCUCGCAUCCACGAAGCAACCAUCGUCUUUGACCUCGGAUCAGGUAGGGAUACCCGCUGAACUUAAGCAUAUCAAUAAGGCGGGAGGGAAC